AUACGGAGGGUGCAAGCGUUAAUCGGAAUUACUGGGCGUAAAGCGCGCGUAGGCGGUUAUUUAAGUCAGAUGUGAAAUCCCUGGGCUCAACCUAGGAACUGCAUCUGAUACUGGGUAACUAGAGUUUUGGAGAGGUAAGUGGAAUUUCCGGUGUAGCGGUGAAAUGCAUAGAGAUCGGAAGGAACACCAGUGGCGAAGGCGACUUACUGGCCAAAAACUGACGCUGAGGUGCGAAAGCGUGGGUAGCAAACAGGAUUAGAAACCCCGGUAGUCC
rnacentral:rRNA from 1 species